rnacentral:lncRNA from 1 species
GAACAGGUUGUGUGUGCCCCUUGAGGCGUUCAUCCAGCACUGUUUCAGAGAAAUCCCUAUUUCAAUCUAUUCCUAUACGUUAGUUAUUGAAAAGCAAUAGACAAUCACAAAAAACAAGUUGACCUUUUUGUGUUCCUUGAGCCAAAGGGCCCUCAUGACUGGGCCUCACACCGAAUAACUCGUUACAAAAAGAGCUAGGGUCCCAGACUGCGCCAAAGCUUCAGGAGACUGCUCCUCGUCUGUGCACAGAUGAGUGGCCAACUCUGGAGCCCAGGUUGUUGCUUCCUAGUCUGGUGGUGAAUCCUUCAUAGUCUGGAGGUGCUUAUUUAGCAAAUUCAACCUUAAACCUGAGUGCAUGGAAACUAUUGAUGCAGUGUCCAAGGUGGAGAAAGGUCAGAGUGGAUCCAGAGGAGCCAAGAGAAGACGUCCAGCAUGGUGACCUGGGCUCAAGUCAAGGUCCUUAUUUCUCUGCUGAACCAUCACAUUCCUUAUACAGAGUGGGACAGCAUUGGCUGAGUUCUACUAGCAAAUGCCGGAGAUGUGGUUCCUGUUGGCCUUUUAACUGAUGUGAUGAAAUAAAGUCUUCCAUAAUUUGACAA